rnacentral:rRNA from 1 species
UUAAUAAUUAUUUAUUAAUUUUUUUAUUUAAUUUAUAUAAAUUAUUAAAAAUAAUUAUAAAAUUUAAUGUUUUAGUAUAUUAUAUAUAAUAAAUAAAUUUAAUAAUAGUUUAUUAGUAUUGUAAAAUAAUAUUGAAAUAUAAUGAAAAAUUUUUAUUAUAAAAGAAAAUUUUAUUUAUUGUAUCUUGUGUAUCAGAGUUUAUUAAAUAAAAAAUAUAUAAUAUAUUUUUCUCGAUUUUAAAAGAUUUAAUAAAUUAUAAAAUUUAAUGUAAUAAAAUUAUUUUAAAUAAUUUAUUAGAAAUGAAAUGUUAUUCGUUUUUAAAUAUAUCUAGUUUUUUAAGAAAUAAAUUAAAUUUAAUUUUAAAAAUUUAUUUAUUUUAUUUUAAUAAAUUAAAUAAUUUUUUAAAUUUAAUAUUUUAUGGGAUAAGCUAUAAAAUAAAUUUUUAUAAAUAAUAAAUAAAAAUUAAAAUAUUAUAUGUUUAGAAUUAUCAAUUUUUAUUAAAUUUGUUAUAAAUUAAUUUUUGUAAUUAAAUUAUUUAUUAUAUUUUAAAUUUUUAUUAAAAUAUUUAUUUUAAUUUUAAAAAUAAAGUAAUAAUGAUAUAAUUAGUAUAUUAUUAUGUAAAAAAAAAUUAUUUUAAAUUGUAAAGUUUAUUUAAAGAAUUCGGCAAAAAUAAUAUUCGCCUGUUUAACAAAAACAUGUCUUUUAGAAAUUAAUUUAAAGUCUAACCUGCCCAAUGAUUUUUUUAAUGGCUGCAGUAUUUUAACUGUACAAAGGUAGCAUAAUCAUUAGUCUUUUAAUUGAAGGCUGGAAUGAAUGGUUGGACGAAAUAUUAACUGUUUCAUUUAAAAUUAUAAUAAAAUUUUAUUUUUCAAUUAAAAAGUUGAAAUAUAAUUAAAAGACGAGAAGACCCUAUAAAUCUUUAUAUAUUUAUUAUUUUACAUUUAAAGAUUAAUUUAUUUAUAAUAAAAUAAUAUAUUUUAUUGGGGUGAUAUUAAAAUUUGAUAAACUUUUAAAAAUUAAAACAUUAAUUUAUGAAUAAUUGAUCCAUUUUUAAUGAUUAAAAAUUUAAGUUACUUUAGGGAUAACAGCGUAAUUUUUUUGGAGAGUUCAUAUUGAUAAAAAAGAUUGCGACCUCGAUGUUGGAUUAAGAUAUAAGUUUAGGUGUAGCUGUUUAAAUUUUAAGUCUGUUCGACUUUUAAAAUCUUACAUGAUCUGAGUUCAAACCGGUGUAAGCCAGGUUGGUUUCUAUCUUUAAUUAAAAAAAAUAUUUUAGUACGAAAGGAUUAAAUAUUUAAAUAAUUUAUUUUAAAAAUUAGAAUUUAAUUAAUUAUUUAAA